UUGGUUAAGUUAGAAAGGGCGCACGGUGGAUGCCUUGGCACUAGGAGCCGAAGAAGGACGGGACUAACACCGAUAUGCUUUGGGGAGCUGUACGUAAGCGUUGAUCCAGAGAUUUCCGAAUGGGGGAACCCACUAUCUUUAGUCGGAUAGUAUCCUUACGUGAAUACAUAGCGUGAGGAAGGCAGACCCAGGGAACUGAAACAUCUAAGUACCUGGAGGAAGAGAAAGAAAAAUCGAUUUCCUGAGUAGCGGCGAGCGAAACGGAAAGAGCCCAAACCAAGAAGCUUGCUUCUUGGGGUUGUAGGACACUCUAUACGGAGUUACAAAAGAAAGUUAUAAAUGAAGCGGUCUGGAAAGGCCCGCCAAAGACGGUAACAGCCCGGUAGUUGAAAUAGCUUUCCCUCCAGAGUGGAUCCUGAGUACGGCGGAACACGUGAAAUUCCGUCGGAAUCCGGGAGGACCAUCUCCCAAGGCUAAAUACUCCCUAGUGACCGAUAGUGAACCAGUACCGUGAGGGAAAGGUGAAAAGCACCCCGGAAGGGGAGUGAAACAGUUCCUGAAACCGUGUGCCUACAAGUAGUUAGAGCCCGUUAAUGGGUGAUAGCGUGCCUUUUGUAGAAUGAACCGGCGAGUUACGAUUUGUUGCAAGGUUAAGCGGAAAAAGCGGAGCCGUAGCGAAAGCGAGUCUGAAUAGGGCGCAUAAGUAACAGGUCGUAGACCCGAAACCAGGUGAUCUACCCAUGUCCAGGAUGAAGGUAAGGUAAUACUUACUGGAGGUCCGAACCCACGCACGUUGAAAAGUGCGGGGAUGAGGUGUGGGUAGCGGAGAAAUUCCAAUCGAACUUGGAGAUAGCUGGUUCUCUCCGAAAUAGCUUUAGGGCUAGCCUCGAGGUAAAGAGUCAUGGAGGUAGAGCACUGUUUGGACUAGGGGCCCUUCUCGGGUUACCGAAUUCAGAUAAACUCCGAAUGCCAUGUACUUAUACUCGGGAGUCAGACUGCGAGUGAUAAGAUCCGUAGUCGAAAGGGAAACAGCCCAGACCACCAGUUAAGGUCCCCAAAUAUAUGUUAAGUGGAAAAGGAUGUGGGGUUGCUUAGACAACCAGGAUGUUGGCUUAGAAGCAGCCACCAUUGAAAGAGUGCGUAAUAGCUCACUGGUCGAGUGACCCCGCGCCGAAAAUGUACCGGGGCUAAACAUAUUACCGAAACUGUGGAUGAACCUCUUUGGAGGUUCGUGGUAGGAGAGCGUUCUAAGGGCGGUGAAGUCAGACCGGAAGGACUGGUGGAGCGCUUAGAAGUGAGAAUGCCGGUAUGAGUAGCGAAAGAAGGGUGAGAAUCCCUUCCACCGAAUAUCUAAGGUUUCCUGAGGAAGGCUCGUCCGCUCAGGGUUAGUCGGGACCUAAGCCGAGGCCGAUAGGCGUAGGCGAUGGACAACAGGUAGAGAUUCCUGUACCAGUGCUAAUUGUUUAACCGAUGGGGUGACACAGAAGGAUAGGGAAUCGCACGAAUGGAAAUGUGCGUCCAAGCAGUGAGUGUGAGAAGUAGGCAAAUCCGCUUCUCG
rnacentral:rRNA from 1 species